UUCUCGUUAGAUCACCGAAGUUAAGCAUCAUUGGGCGCGGUCAGUACUUGGGUGGGUGACCACCUGGGAACACCGCGUGCCGUU